rnacentral:rRNA from 1 species
AGAGUUUGAUCCUGGCUCAGAACGAACGCUGGCGGCGUGGAUUAGGCAUGCAAGUCGAACGAGAACGUUCCCUUCGGGGAGCUAGUACAGUGGCGAACGGGUGAGUAACGCGUGGGAAACCUGCCUUUGAGCGGGGGAUAACAGUCCUAACGGGCUGCUAAUACCGCAUGACGCUGUUGAUCGCAUGUUCAACAGUUAAAGAUGGCCUCUACAUGUAAGCUGUCGCUUAAAGAUGGUCCCGCGUCCUAUUAGCUUGUUGGUGGGGUAACGGCUCACCAAGGCAACGAUGGGUAGCCGGCCUGAGAGGGUGGUCGGCCACACUGGGACUGAGAUACGGCCCAGACUCCUACGGGAGGCAGCAGUCGAGAGGCUUCGGCAAUGGGGGAAACCCUGACCGAGCGACGUCGCGUGGGUGAUGAAGGUUCUUGGACCGUAAAACCCUGUCAGAUGGGAUGAAAUGCCGUUUGGUUAAUAGCCACGCGGCUUGACAGUACCGUCAGAGGAAGCUCCGGCCAACUCCGUGCCAGCAGCCGCGGUAACACGGGGGGAGCAAGCGUUGUUCGGAAUCAUUGGGCGUAAAGAGCUCGUAGGCGGCUCCGUAAGUCAGGGGUGAAAUCCAAUGGCUCAACCAUUGACACGCCUCUGAAACUACGGACCUUGAGUCCGGAAGAGGAAAGCGGAAUUCCAGGAGUAGCGGUGAAAUGCGUAGAUAUCUGGAAAACACCAGUGGCGAAGGCGGCUUUCUGGUCCGGUACUGACGCUGAGGAGCGAAAGCCAGGGGAGCGAACGGGAUUAGAUACCCCGGUAGUCCUGGCCGUAAACGAUGGGCACUAGGUGUGGGAAGUCCGACCCUUUCCGUGCCGGAGUUAGCGCAUUAAGUGCCCCGCCUGGGGAGUACGACCGCAAGGUUGAAACUCAAAGGAAUUGACGGGGGCCCGCACAAGCUGUGGAGCAUGUGGUUUAAUUCGAUGAUGCGCGAAGAACCUUACCGGGGCUUGACAUGCAGUAGACCGCCAUGGAAACAUGGUUUCCCCUUACGGGGCUGUUGCACAGGUGCUGCAUGGUUGUCGUCAGCUCGUGUCGUGAGAUGUUGGGUUAAGUCCCGCAACGAGCGCAACCCUUGUCCUUAGUUGCCAUCAGGUUAUGCUGGGCACUCUACGGAGACUGCCGGUGAUAAACCGGAGGAAGGUGGGGAUGACGUCAAAUCAUCAUGGCCCUUACGUCCCGGGCUACACACGUGCUACAAUGGCCGGCACAGAGGGCUGCGAUACCGCAAGGUGGAGCGAAUCCCAAAAAGCCGGUCUCAGUUCGGAUUGCAGUCUGCAACUCGACUGCAUGAAGUCGGAAUCGCUAGUAAUCGCGGAUCAGCAGGCCGCGGUGAAUACGUUCCCGGGCCUUGUACACACCGCCCGUCAAGUACGCU